rnacentral:rRNA from 1 species
AACGAACGCUGGCGGCAUGCCUAACACAUGCAAGUCGAACGAGACCUUCGGGUCUAGUGGCGCACGGGUGCGUAACGCGUGGGAACCUGCCCUUAGAUUCGGAAUAACUCCCCGAAAGGGGUGCUAAUACCGGAUAAUGUCUUCGGACCAAAGAUUUAUCGCCUUUGGAUGGGCCCGCGUUGGAUUAGCUAGUUGGUAGGGUAAAAGCCUACCAAGGCGACGAUCCAUAGCUGGUCUGAGAGGAUGAUCAGCCACACUGGGACUGAGACACGGCCCAGACUCCUACGGGAGGCAGCAGUGGGGAAUAUUGGACAAUGGGCGAAAGCCUGAUCCAGCAAUGCCGCGUGAGUGAUGAAGGCCUUAGGGUUGUAAAGCUCUUUUACCCGGGAUGAUAAUGGCAGUACCGGGAGAAUAAGCUCCGGCUAACUCCGUG